GACGAACGCUGGCGGCGUGCUUAACACAUGCAAGUCGAACGGAAAGGCCCUGCUUUUGUGGGGUGCUCGAGUGGCGAACGGGUGAGUAACACGUGAGUAACCUGCCCUUGACUUUGGGAUAACUUCAGGAAACUGGGGCUAAUACCGGAUAGGAGCUCCUGCUGCAUGGUGGGGGUUGGAAAGUUUCGGCGGUAGGGGAUGGACUCGCGGCUUAUCAGCUUGUUGGUGGGGUCGUGGCUUACCAAGGCUUUGACGGGUAGCCGGCCUGAGAGGGUGACCGGCCACAUUGGGACUGAGAUACGGCCCAGACUCCUACGGGAGGCAGCAGUGGGGAAUAUUGCACAAUGGGCGGAAGCCUGAUGCAGCAACGCCGCGUGCGGGAUGACGGCCUUCGGGUUGUAAACCGCUUUCGCCUGUGACGAAGCGUGAGUGACGGUAAUGGGUAAAGAAGCACCGGCUAACUACGUG
rnacentral:rRNA from 1 species